CGGAACGAAGAAGGGCGCAUGGGGGAUGCCUAGGCUCUCGGAGGCGAAGAAGGACGUGACAAGCUGCGAAAAGCCGGGGCGAGUGGCAAAUGCACCGUGACCCCCGGAUGUCCGAAUGGGGCAACCCGUCGGGAGCGAUCCCGACAUUGCGCGGAUAGCGCAAGGCGAACGCGGGGAACUGAAACAUCUUAGUACCCGCAGGAAAAGAAAGUAACAACGAUUCCCCCAGUAGUGGCGAGCGAACGGGGAGGAGCCCAAACCGGCGGUGUCGCAAGGCAUGAGCCGGGGUAAUAGGAGCGUCAAGAAGUGAGUCGGAAGCGGGCGGAACCGUUUGGAAUGUCGGGCCGCAGCGGGUGAGAGCCCCGUACGCGAAGCGGAAGAUAAGCGAGACGCCACCUGAGUAUGCCGGAACACGAGAAAUUCCGGUUGAAAUAUCGGGGACCAUCCCGAAAGGCUAAAUACUACCGAGAGACCGAUAGCGAACGAGUACCGUGAGGGAAAGGUGAAAAGCACCUCGGACAGAGGAGUGAAAUAGACCCUGAAACCAUGCGCCUACAAGCGGUCGGAGCCACGUGAUGUGGUGACGGCGUGCCUUUUGCAUAAUGAACCUGCGAGUUGCCGUCGCCGGCGAGGCUAAGGGCCUGAGGUCCGGAGCCGGAGCGAAAGCGAGUCCGAAUAGGGCGCAGAGUCGGCGGGGGCAGACGCGAAACCGAGUGAUCUACGCAUGGGCAGGAUGAAGGACGGGUAACACCGUCUGGAGGUCCGAACCGGUAAGCGUUGAAAAGCUUUCGGAUGACCUGUGCGUAGGAGUGAAAGGCCAAUCAAACUCGGAGAUAGCUCGUACUCCCCGAAAUGCAUUUAGGUGCAGCCCGGGCGAAACUACCGCGGAGGUAGAGCGACCGAUAGGAUGCGAGGGCUUCGCCGCCUGUCAAGUCCUGACGAACUCCGAAUGCCGCGGCAGGAUUCCCCGGAGUGAGGGCGCGGGUGCUAAGGUCCGCGUCCGAGAGAGGAACAACUCAGACCACCGUCCAAGGCCCCGAAAUCCGGGCUGAGUUGAAGACAAUAACGAGGUGGGGCCGCAGAGACAGCUAGGAUGUUGGCUUGGAAGCAGCCACUCAUUCAAAGAGUGCGUAACAGCUCACUAGUCGAGCGGCCCCGCGUGGAUAAUAAUCGGGCAUAAGUCCGGUGCCGAAGACGUGGAAUGUAUCGGAUGAUACAUUGGUAGGGGAGCAUUCAUGCGGCGGAGAAGGUAAGGCGUGAGCCAUGCUGGAGCCUCAUGAAAAGCAAAUGCAGGUAUAAGUAACGACAAAUGGGGCGUGAAACCCCAUCGCCGUAAGACCAAGGGUUCCUGAACAACGCUAAUCGGUUCAGGGUAAGUCGGGACCUAACGCCACCCCGUCAGGGCAUGGCGGAUGGACAUGCGGUCAAUAUUCCGCAACCCGUCCUUGUCGAGUAAGCGCGGAGACGGAGAAGCGAAACGUGCGCGCGCCGACGGAAUGGCGCGUUGAAGGGAGGUAGCCAUAACCGGACGGCGGAAACGUCCGGGGCGAGCCCCGACAGUACACGAGGCCUUCGGGCCGGGUGACAGUCACGGAGGAGCAGACUCCCGAGAAAAUCCGCUGCUGACGUUUGAGACAGGGUCGGCCCGUACCGUAAACCGACACAGGUGGUCGGGUAGAAUAUACCAAGGCGCUCGAGAGACUCACGGUCAAGGAACUAGGCAAAUCAGCCCCGUAACUUCGGGAUAAGGGGCCCUCCCCCCUAGACAAGGGGAGGCGCAGAGAAUAGGUCCAGGCAACUGUUUAGCAAAAACACAGGGCUGUGCGAAGCCGCAAGGCGCGGUAUACAGCCUGACACCUGCCCGGUGCCGGAAGGUUAAGCGGAGCCGUCAGCGCAAGCGAAGCGGUGAAGUGAAGCCCCGGUAAACGGCGGCCGUAACUAUAACGGUCCUAAGGUAGCGAAAUUCCUUGUCGGGUAAGUUCCGACCUGCACGAAUGGUGUAAUGAUCCGGACACUGUCUCGACCGUGAGCUCGGUGAAAUUGUAGUAUCGGUGAAGAUGCCGAUUACCCGCAACGGGACGAAAAGACCCCGUGAACCUUUACUGCAGCUUAGCAUUGGGGCCGGGUGCGCGAUGUGUAGGAUAGUCCGGAGGCUAUGAGCCGGCGACGCCAGUCGUCGGGGAGCCGUUGUUGAAAUACGGGCCUUCGCGCAUUUGGCUUCUAACGCGCGAUAAGCGCGGACAUUGCUUGGCGGGUAGUUUGACUGGGGUGGUCGCCUCCAAAAGCGUAACGGAGGCUCCUAAAGGUACCCUCAGGCCGAUUGGCAACCGGCCGCAGAGUGCAAUGGCAUAAGGGUGCUUGACUGCGAGACGUACAAGUCGAACAGGAAGGAAACUUGAGCAUAGUGAUCCGGCGGUUCCGCAUGGAAGGGCCGUCGCUCAAAGGAUAAAAGGUACUCCGGGGAUAACAGGCUGAUCCCUCCCAAGAGCUCAUAUCGACGGAGUGGUUUGGCACCUCGAUGUCGGCUCGUCACAUCCCGGGGCUGGAGAAGGUCCCAAGGGUUAGGCUGUUCGCCUAUUAAAGUGGCACGCGAGCUGGGUUCAGAACGUCGUGAGACAGUUCGGUCUCUAUCUGUUGUGGGCGUUGAGAUUUGAGGAGAUCCGACACUAGUACGAGAGGACCGUGUUGGACAGACCUCCGGUGUGCCGGUUGUCCCGCCAGGGGCACCGCCGGGUAGCCGCGUCUGGACCGGAUAAGUGCUGAAAGCAUCUAAGCACGAAGCCGACUCCGAGAUAAGAUCUCGCCGAGGGCCGUCGCAGACUACGACGUCGAUAGGCCGCAGGUGCAAUCGUGGCGACACGUUCAGCCGAGCGGUACUAAUUGCCCGAAGUUCCGGAGAA
rnacentral:rRNA from 1 species